AUUAAAGUAGAAAUGCUUUUGGGGAGUGAUGCUGAAGGUAUUAAAGUGUGAUCUUGUGAAAGUAACUGAUAGGAAGUGGGGGUUGUGAAUAAAUGAAAGGUUCUGUUCUACACCAAAACAUGAAUUACAUACUGAUAGAUCAGAGAAAUUAAUGUACUAGGUUGUAUUGAAGUACAAUAGCAUUUUCACUGUUCCUUGUACAUAGUUCUUUGUAAAACUGGGCUGUCUGCACAGAUAAUGCACGUCCUUUUUUUUUUUUAUGAGCAGCAAAUGCCAAUUUAUGUCCUCUUCCUCCUUAGAAAACAGCUUAAUUGUUUCCAACAGUCCAAUUAAACCAGUCACAGUUGAGGUGACAUUUUUCCCCAAGAAAUACUGGAAUGCUUGAAUUUGAUUCCUGAGAUUUUGUCCAGGUUAGUUGUACUUGUAUCUUGCAUUGCUUGACUAGAUUAAGUUUAUUCUCUUCUCACUACUCUCUUCUACAGGUAGUGCAUCAUGCCAAUAUGCCCUUGAUUUUUUUUUUUUUUUUUUUUUCCCAAGCUGGUGAUUUGAUGGAUAGAGGAGAAAUUGCCUUUUGCAAAGCAUUUUGCUUUGAAGUAGACAUAGUAUAGACUGUAAAAUUAAAGAAUCUUGUGUAUUCAAGCUUCCCAUUUCCUUGUGUAAAAAGUCAAGAUUUCACGUGUUGACUUCUUGAAAGAGAGAACUCCGUGGAGAGCCAACUUAAUUCUGUCAGGCUAGCAUUACUUUUUAUGAUUUAACUGUUUGAGUUUUUGGAGUCUUACCAUGAGUUUUGAUGACUAUCUGUUGCAGUCCUUUAUUUUUAUGAUCAUAGAAUCAUAGAAUAGUUUGAGUUGGAAUCGGCCUGUCAAGGUCAUCCAGUCCAAGCCCCAAUAAUGAGAAUCAAAAUCUAGUAGUUCUUCUGAGCAGAGGUUAUCUUCAAGCAAAAAGUAGUUCCACAAAAGCAAAUUAAACGAUGUUUUUAAAUUAAGCAUAUAUACUAGUGAUUUGCUAGUUUGUGGCUUAACUGGUUGGGGUUCCAAGUAUUCAGAUGUUCAGCACGAUGGCUUAUCUCAGUCACUCUCUUUGCUAGAUAUUAUGCAGAUUGUGUGGUAAAGACAGAACAGUAAGCAGUGUAGAAUAAAAUGCAAAGGAAAAUGUAGCUAUACUACAGUGAACCUUGUAAACAGAGGUAUUACAUAGUGAGCAAAAUCAAGCGGUAAAAGUAGCUGUAAGAGAGUUAGCAGCUUUGUCUCUGGAAUUAGACAGUCAGAACACUCAUGCUAAUUAACCACAAAAUCUGGAAUUGAUACGGCUCUAAGAAUGAGGGUAUAUCUUGUAUUUGAGGAUGGACAAAACAGAGUAAAUCUGGGACAAACUUGAAAGAUAUGUCUUCCUCUUCCUAAAAUAAUUAAUUUCAUCAGUUUGUAAUGCAGCCUUCAGAGGUAUCAAUCAUGCUCUGUAGGCUUUGACACUAUGUAGAUUCUUAUUUUUUUUUUAACGUAACUGGUGAAAUACAGGGUGCAUAAACUUCCCCAGUCAUGUAUUUUCAUCUUACAAAUGUCUAGCUUGACUUAAAAUACCAAGGCUUUGGAGGGAAUAGUUUGGUUUGCAACUUAAAAUGUUGAAAUGUGUAAUUUGGAACCUGUAGAUUUUGUGUGGCAUUUAAUUAAGUGAUUAAAGAUGCUUUCUAUGUUUGAUAUAGUUGGAAAGAAAAAAAAAAAAGUAUAAAUAAAAAUCCCAUCUCAAAGCAGAUUUCAACUCCCAAACUUUAAUCUGUGAGGCUGUUAUUUUGUUUAUUAGGCUAUACAAUUUAGCACAUAAGCAUGUGGAGAUUUUUGAAUGUUAAUUUUACCACUGGAGGGAGCCCCUAUUCCAUAAAUACUGUAGAAAAAAAAAAAAAAAUAAAGGAUUAUAAUUUUAAGAGGAAAAAGAGUGCAUUUUUAUGAUACAAUACAUUUUUCCUGGUGCUGACUUUGCAUGUAUGCAGAAUUUUAACACUGGAUUAAAUAGGUACACCAUUAGGUUGCUAGAUGAGUGUAGUUCCAGAGUCUUCAACUUGUUUUUUAAGUCUUUGAUUAGCAUUAAGUUUCAUUUUUCAUAAUAAUAAUUUUAUAAUCUAGGUGGACUUGCUAGUGUGUUUUUUCAUCUUUUAAGACCUCUGACUUUUAAAAUACGAUCUUGAGUUAAUCUGUUCUAAAGCACGGUUCAAAUGUCCAGAAAAGUAACCAGUGUAAUGCUGUUUGUCAUCAUCUUAUAAUAACCAGUUGACAGGCAAGAAGCUAUUAAAGCCUUCUUGUCCCUUGUGGGUUAUUUGAUUUGUCAUUCUCCAUUUUUGCAGCCUGUGUACUCAAACCAAUUUGUGAUAACACAACCAGAAAGCUAAAUUCUGUAAAGAGUUCAUGCUGACAUUGUUAUUCCACACAAGAGGCCCAGUAGGGAGAGAUAAAGCUAUAAUUCAGAUAACAUGAUUAAAUGAGAUCUUGUAUCACAAAGACUUUGGUGGAUGAAGAAACAUAAACAUCUCCUCUUUUUAUAUAAAUUAGAAGAAGAUGCGGGGUCAUAUUGAAGUUGCAUCUGCCAUUUUUAUUUAACUAUUUUGCGGAUAAUUCAGCUGAACUGAGGCUUCGGGAGGUGGUUGAAUUACAAGAGCUUCACUCGAUACAUAUUCUAAGAAUUUAGAUUUACUUUGACAAGUAGUUUUUAUUUCAAAUAUUUGAAGUGGGUCAGAGGAAAAACAUGCAAUGAGCUAUAUUUAUGACAGCAGAUACAUUGAAAGUAAAUUGCAUAAGCCUGAAAGAGUUUUAAGUUUCCAUAAUUAAAUUGAUAUUGAUAUACUGAAUAUUUUAAAUAAUCAUUUUUUGGGAACUUGGGACAGCCUAGAAUAGAAUAGCCUUGCUUUUAGCAAUGAGACCACAGACACUAACAGUAGUUUAUAAUGGAGCUCAUUUCCCUACCUAUUUUUUCCAAAAUUUUCGUUGAAAUAUUUUGCAUUUUCAAUUAAUUAGGUGACAUUUCUCAGUUUGAUAGUGGAAAUGGAAUACUCCUACUCAGUUUGUUCUUAUUAUUAUAUAAAUGCAACAUAGCCUUGAUAGAAUUAAUGUUUGUGAUUUUGCAUGUGUGUAUUAAACAUGAGUGAGUGAAUUUAGCUUACGUGUUGUAUUUGUCAGAAUGUGCAUCAAGAAAACCUGUAUUUAUAUGAAAGCUAAUGUAGCAAAGCAAAUUCAAUGAAAAUGUAGAUAGAAUUUAGUGUACUGAAGAGAUUAAAGGGGAAUUAUCUUGUAAAGCCAUAUUGAACAGAGGUCAGAGGUAUGUUUUAGAAAUUAUUAUGUGCUGCCAAAUCUGAGAAUAUUUUUCUUGAAAAAUUUAUUCUGACAAGUCAUAGGUAAUUUCAUCCAUUCUUUCUAGUUCGUUUUGCAAAACAAGUACUGAGAUGAUUACCUGGAAAUUUUAAGGAAGAACAUUGGCAAAAUAGCAGAUCAGGAAAAAUAAACUGUACUGUAAUUAAGUACAGAUGAAGUUAGUGUAAGUAUUGACAUGAAGAGUUUGUGAAUGUUUCGUUGGUUUCAAGGUAAAUAAUGGUUUCAGUGUUUCUAUUUUUUUUGCACAGUUAGAAGCCUUGCUGCCUAGAACGUGCUGUUAAAUGUGAAGGAAUUCCAUUUUCAAACAGCUUUCCCACCUCUUCUUAAUAUCAGGUACAUUUAUCCUCAGAACAGCUCUUAAUGAACUCUGAAGUGAAGUAAAUAGAGUAUCUGGCUUCUGUAGCCUUCUUUUGAUGUAGACAUUUCAAAUUGUUCAACCAAAGAGUUUCUUUACAUUAGGACCAGGUAGAGAAACUGAGCUGAAGAAAGCCCAAAUCAAAAGUGGUAUUUUCAGAAUCCUGGUCCAGCUUAAUUCAUUAGCCUACAGAUCUUGGUCACCAUCUGUACAUCCUCAUAUACUGUGGGAAAUCACAGCUUAAACCUGCUUAAUGGUGCUUGUGCUUUACAUCUCUAAAACCUCUUUUAUUUUAUUGAAGUUGCUGUAUGUUAUUCCUCCAUCUCAGCAGUGGUUUUGGUCUUCCUUCUUUAGUGGAUGUAUAGAAAAUCAGUAUUGGCAGUGUGUUCAAUAUUAUCUUUGCUUCAUAAGUAUUCUAGCAAAAGAUCAGUUCUAAAAAGAAAAAAAAAAAAAGGAAAAGAGAUCUGAAAAUGCAGACAGUGAGACAGUGUACUGGAAACUGUCAUUUUUUCAGGGAGGAGAUCCAGGAGAAGCCUCUGUGACCUUGAUGCCAAACUAGGUGUUCCAGGCAGUUUUCCUGGUUGAGCUAAUGACUGUGUCUCUCUUUAGAAAUUUAAUGUAAAAAUCUUUCCUUUUUUUUUUUUUUUUUUUUUUUUGGGGCGGGGCAGGGAAUAACUUUUGGGGUAGAGCAAGGAAAAGAAUUACCCAUGACAUUUUAAAAGGAAGCUCAUACCUAAAGUAUCUUUCUAAUCCAUGGGGUAUGUAAAAAGUAAUUUUACAAGUCCUUGCUUAAUUAUUCACGUGGUGCAAUACUGAGCUUUCAUUUUCUGAGCAGAAGGAGGAGAAAAGCUGGAAAAAAAAAAAAAAGGAAAGAAAAUCAGAUCGAAUUGAAGAAACUUUUCCUUGCAAAGGAACAGGAAAGCCAUAUGGGGGAACUGUAUAUCCCAAAUACCAGGAAAUCACAGUAGAUACAUGCUAAUUAAUUAUCCCACAAGAACAAAUUCAUUUCUAUAUUUGUCUUUACAGUUAAUACACCCUUGAGAAAUUGCAAUCUCUUACUAUUGAAAAAGAGUUUUCUUCAACAGCUUUUUAUCUAGCAGCUAUUAGUGAUUUCUUUUAGGACCAGACAUUUUUGAUUGGUCUCAGACAUUCUUUGAAGUUACAGUUCUAAACCAGGAAGAUGUAGUUGUGUGUUUAUUUUUGCUUCUGUUGUCUCUAGUUUGCAAGUAUGCUUAUGUAAUUAAACAAAACAAAACAACAUACUGGACACAGUUAGAAACAUGGAAAAGUCAGUUGUAGCCCCAAGUGUUUUUAAACAGAUUAGAUUAACAAAAAUUACAAAACCACACAGAUUUUCAUAAUCAUGACUGCUUUGAAAUGGGGUCCAUCUUUUUGAAACACCCUAUAGUAUUUGGAAAUGUAUUGAAGACUUUUAACUGAACUGUUUAUAAAAACAUAAACAUUAAAAUAAAUUAUCUGAAAAUGUUUACAGUAGUAUUAAGAAUGUGUUGAUUUGAUUUUUAAAUUGCAAGAGGGGAAAAAAGAAACAAAGCUUAUGUAACAAAAGAGCCAAAUUGAAAAUCAAGUUAUGCAGCCAUCUACAGGACAUAUUUUAAUGACUAUCACCAAACUUUAUAUAGAUUUUGAAUCCUUUAGAAAGCUUACUAUUAUUUACAAGCUGACCUUAUUAAGUGGCAAAGAAAGGCUGGGGCUUUAGUACCUAGAUGAUUAAACAAAACAAAACAAAGGCGAUGUUGAUGAGAAAUUUGGGAAGUUAUAUGAGCUGUUCUUUGUGACUGUGAAGUAAGUAUUCUAUAAUGGAUACAAAUACAGCUUUCUGUUUUCAAGAAAGCAAGCAUAUUAAAGAGUGAAAUCAAGGUGUCAGAUAUUUAACUUCAUGCAAAUAAGCCUGUUUCAAAAUAGCAAUAAGAUGAUAGAAACUUUAAAGCACAUGGGUCUUUAAAAAGACUGUAGCUUAAAUAACAGCUAUAAGGCUUGCUUAUUAGCAGACUAACAGCACCUUUCUCUUCCCUCACAAAUUAUCACUUUAUUCUUCUCUUUGACACUAAUGCAGAUUCUUUUUACUAAAAAAAAGUUUCCCGAGGUCUUCAUAAAAAGCGCUAAAAGCCCCUAAGUAAACACUGAAGGAAAGGGAUUUUUAGUUACCAUUGAAUAUCCCUGUCUCUUAGUGGCUGGGGGCACCAUCUCUUGCUUUGCCCCACACAGGGGAGUUCUGCAUCUCUCUGUCACCUGUGCCCUACAGAAGUGAUACAGAAGGAUAGGGACAGAAGAAAAUCUCAGCCGUUUGUCCCUAGACUGACCCAAAAUAUAAUUUUCAUCUUUACAGUGCCCAGCUAGGUUUCAGGAAUAUUUCAUUAGAGAGUAGAAAUAUGUUUUGUGGCUAGAAAAUGGUGAUAUUGCUGAUUUAGAGUACAUUACUUAUGUGGCUACUAUGAAGCAUUUAUCGUAUCAUGUAAGGAGACCGGGGAGUUGUUUUUUUGACAUUUGCAGAAUGUCUGCUAAGUUUGGAAUCUUCGUAUAUAUUACAGCACUUACUGAUCUGGGUCCCACUAGACGGAAGCCAUUACAGAGUGUGUAGCAAAUAGCCUAAGAAAUAGUUCUGCUGUGGACAGAAAUAGUUCCGUGUUCCUUUGCUUAAUUAUUCCCACUGGCUAUUGUAUACUAACACCAGGUUUUGUGUAGUCCUAUGAUGAGCUGGAUCAGGGAACUGAUUUGGUUGAAAAUGAAAAUAUUUUUUUUAAAGUUUCCGGUUUUAUAAAUUCCCUAAUCCACCUUGGCGACAGAUGUGUUGUAUUUGAGCACCAGAGCAAGGGAGGCAGUAGGGGUUAGCGCUGAGUGGGGAGAUUAGGAAGUGGGGAAUUGAGAUUGCCUCACAUUACAGAAAUGCAGGCUUUUAUUGGAUUAAAUUUACUACUUUGUCAAGAACCGGAACAGAGAGGGUAAAUACAGAAAGCCAAAGAAAACAUACAGGGUUUCUAUGUGGAAAACCUGGUUGGUUGGCUUUUUUGUUUGUUUCAUCAAAACUGAAACAACAUUAAACCACACAUCUGAGCUUUUUUUCACUGUUAACAGUUCAAACUGCCUUGCUUUUAGGAAUCAUGAAAUUUAUUCUGUUGGAAGGAGCAACAUAAUUUUCUGUGUUUGCUCUGUGUUUUUCUAAUAUCCACAUGAUUAAACUUUGGUGGCUUUCCUCAGAGUCAGGGUUCUUUCUUGAAAUUUCCCAUUAUUCCUUCAAACCUUCACUAUUAAAAAUAGAUGCUAAAAAGUCGCAGAGUUUGCAACCAGCAGUAUAGUAACUAUGAGGUACUUUGGCAGCCACUGUGGUCAGGAGUUCAUAGUUCUUGUGCUCCUAUAUGCAGUGGUGUUUGUACUGGGAUAGUUGAACCAACAUCAGCAACAAUCACAAAUUUUUGAGAAAAGACCUACUAUGUCAUUGUUAGUGAUUCUUCAGGUGUCAGGAGAAUGUGUUUGCUGAUGCAAACAUGCUACCUAAGUAGCAACACAGUGAUGAAAGAUGACAAAUGAGGGAAGAACAAAACCACAAAACAUUUAAUUUUUUAAAAUGCAAAAUAAACCACCCAUAAUCUGCAUUAAGAAGCAUCAGAGGAUUUUAAAGUAAUUGAAAAGUAAUUUAAUAUCUUUUCCCAUAGCCCAGUCUUUGCAGUGUCAUGUUGUUAAGCAAUAAAUAAUGGAAUUUUUGCAGGAAAGAUAUCUUAUGCUUUCAAGUCAGUGAGAUAAAUCUAACCACAUGGAUUAGGAAGUCAUCCUUAUCUACUUACAGUCUAAUUUCCUGAUGAUACAUAGUGUGUGCUGUUGUCAUUUCUUUAAUAUGGUAGGAGAUGAAGAAUCCAUCAGUCAUUUUGAGAUUACCUUCAAUAAGGCUUUCAGAAUGCUCUUUUAAUGAGGAUAAUUUUUAAUAGAAAAUUGUGUACAACUGCCUGACAUGAAUGAUGAAAGAUCACUGAAGAAAAAAAGCCAAGUAUUGUAACAAGAGCCUACUUGCUAUCUGUUACUUCGGUCUUACUCCACAUGUCUAAUCCAUAAUCUUACUCCACAUAUCAUAAAAAUGCAUUUCUGCAGAUCAAUGGAAACAUGCACGUAUGAAUAAUGAAGAGCUAUUGAUAAUGGAUUCAAAUAUCAAAUAUAGCAAAUCAUCAUAUUAAUGUGUUUGAAAAUUAUGACCACUUCAAUGGCUUACAAGUGUGGCUUCUUGGCAAUAAAAGCUGAUGAUUUGUGCAUAACCUUUGGUCUAGUACUAUUUCCUUUUUUAUAUUUUAAAGUGGUUAAUGCGUCAGAUGUUGUGUGAUGCCCCUCAAUGUUCCUGCUGCAAUUGGUUUAACGCUGGUUUGUACAUCUUAUACUUUUUAAUUGAGCCACUGCCAUACCGUGCUUUUUCAAUAGAGUGAGUCAAUAGUACAAUAUAUUUGGAGAAUCACUCUUUAUUACAGUUCUGAAUACUAGGAAGGCAGAUUGGAGAGUUGAUCAGAAGAGGAAUAGAUUUUGUUCCUUUCAAUAGUUCUUCGCAUUCAUCUCCUUUGUAGGUAAAGUGUGCUGAGAUUAUAAAAUCCUGUUUUGCCUCGUGAGUAGCAAGAAGUAACGGUCUCUUACCAGGAAUACGGACUGAUCAUGUUACGAAAGGAUUUAUUAGGUCUGGUACUUUUUAGCACUUGGUGUGAUUGUCACAAAGUUAAUUAUAUUAAAAAAAAAAAAAAAGUGGAAAAAAAAAUCAGGUGGCCUUUUUAAAUUGAAUGCAGUGCUGCAUGACAGUAAUGGCUACUGAAAUAUGUUUCAACUGAGAAGGUAAAAUCUGGUAGCUUUUUAUAUAACCAGGAAAUCCUAUAUAAUGUCUAUAUAACAUUAAUUCAUUUAUGUAAUGAUGUUGUGACUAACUAGUCAAUAUUCUUGAGUAUUAAAUAGGAAUAAAAAGCAGGCCCCUCCCUUUCAGCUUUCACAGUUUUCAAUGCAAAACAGCUGUAUUAACUGUGAAGACAGCAGCCGCUGUAAAGGUAUCAAAGAGCAAGCAAUAUAGUCACAAAGAUAACAAGAGAUUGAUCCCUUGUGUUUUCUCAUGAGUAUAUAUUCUGCCACUUAGAUACCUUUACAUUCAGUCAGGAAUAAUUUAUGAAAAUAAACUAUUCCGUGUCAAGAGGACUGUAUUCAUUGAAGUGAUAUGGCAUGGCAGACAGCAAAAUGUUUUUCUUUUAAUAUGUCUGUGAUGCUUUUAUUUUUUUUUUUAAUCUGGUAAGGAGCAAAUUAUCUCAUCAGAUGACUGUCUUGUUGGUGUCACUUUUGAUGAGCCAAGUGUGAAGGUUUUGUCGUAUUUUAAAACUCUUCUAUAUUUCUAUGUAAAAGGAAAGAAAGAGGGGGGCAAAAAAAAAAAAGUAGCACCUCUCAGACACAAUGAAAACCUGGCACCCUCAUUUUCAAAAUAUAUUGAUGGCAUAUCUAAAAACAUUUCGGAAUGAUAGUAGAAAUAAUUGCACAGAGUCUAAUUGUUUCUUUUUUCUAUUUAAAGUGAGGCAGACAAAAGCUGAGUAUUUUUUUUUUAUUUUGAGAUUUAUGCUGUAUUUUGAAUAAUAUGAUGGUUACCUUGUUAUAAACAGUAUAACAGAGUUUACCCUGUAAUAUUAUAUUUGCUUUUAUUCCCUAAAAUAUACAUAUAAAUAUAUAUAAAUAUAUAUAUAUCUAAAUGUAGUAGCGGAUUGGAAAUAUCCAUUCAUUCACACAACUGAAGAGUUCCGCCUUAUUUUUUAUGUUGAUUUGGAAAGAGGCUCACACAUACUUACAUCAAUAACAUCUGCGUCCUAGGCAUAUCACAUGUCUCAUUUGUGUCUUUUCAUCUACUGUGUGUUUACAUUCAUAAAAAUAAACAAGUGUUGGCAGAAUAUAAAAAGUGUGCUGAGUUAGUUUAGUUAUUCAUAACGAGCGUAGCUAUGAAUAGUGUUAGCCAGCUAUAACCCCUGUAUGGUCUUAUUGGAAGCCGCCUGCUAGUGUAUGUAUCUUUGAAUGCAAUAAAAGAACCUCAGGAUUUAGCUAACCUCAAGCACACAUCAGAAGUCUCUUUUCCAGGCUAGCCUGCAGGACUCGAAGGCCAGAUUUGGAAUGGACAUGCAUCAUUUUGCUUAACACCUUCUGCUCAGGCAUAAGGAAGUAUAAUGAGACCUUCUGUCUCAGGAGCACGCUGUGCCAUUCUUAAGACCCUGUGAUUGAGAUUCCUGUAUUUUCCCAUGUUUCAGUAUUUAAUUACCAUUAUCAUUAGGAAGAUUUUCCUGGUAUUAACCUUAGGUCUUUUUGCCAUAGACUAAAAUGAUGAUUCCUCUCCUCCUUACUAGACUGACAUGGAGAAACAGCUCUGACAUGGGACAAGAGCUGAUGACAUUUCUCUUAAGAUUUUAUGACAAGGAGAUUAACAUCUGUAUCUUGCAAAAAUAAUUUGUUUGUUCACAGAUUAUAAAAAACUUAAUUUCUUGAACUUUUCCCAGGAGAUCUGGUUGUAGAUCCCUUCUUUGGAUGAAGCAGCUCGUCAGUAGCAAGAAAAGCUGACAGAUUUCAUUACCAUUGACAGGAAUUGUACUCCUGUUAAUAAAUCUAAGAAUAAGGUUUGACUUAUUUGGAGCAGCAUUGCAAUACUGAUUUGCAUUCAGCUAUUGCUCACUGUGAAAAUGCAAUGACUACAGAGUUUUUGGUCUUGGUACUUGUGCAUUUGUCUUCUUCAGAUUUAUUGCUCUCCUUAGCCAAACUUUUGUUGAAUGCUGUGUUGAUUUCAGAACGUUCUUCAACUUGCCAAAAUCAUUUGGAAUUUUGACCUUAUUCACCAGGUAUUUAUUCUGAUUUGAAGCUCUUGACAUUAUAUGUAUUUCCUUAUUUCCUUGCUGAUGUUGCCCAGUGGAAGCUCUUUUGAGACACCUUUUGUAUGUGACUGUCAAACACUGGUAAUUAGCUUUUUGGUGCAAUUUCAUUUUUUGAGCUUUUGACCUUAUCUCAUGCAAGUGGCCUGUAUACUUAAUUUUCUUAGCUUGAGUAUGCUUAUGGUGGGGGAUACUGAAGCUUCAUUGAAGUUUCUGAUCAAAUGCCACAGUAUACAUUCAGCUGUUAGCUAUUAGAGGCAGAGAAGGUAAUUAUCUCAAACUAAUUCUGAUAAAAGUCAUUUAGUACCUCUGUCUCUGUCUCCCUUUUACAUAUCAUACGUAAUCUUUAGCACAUCUUGCUGAUGCAGUUGUCAGGCCUUCUGCUGUCAUGGGUUGCUAAAAGGUAUUUUCACUGAAUUAACAUCUCACAGAUCAAAGCUUUAAUAUUAGCAGAUGUUCUCCAUAAUGGGCUGCAAUCACUUUAUACCAUUAGUAGGACAUCUUGAGCUCUGUCAGGAUUUGCCGUGCAGCUUUGGGUUAUGACUCGCCUCUUUACAUUCAGAUGGUCCAGUGGUCAGAGUGACGGCUAGUAUGCUCAUGUCCUGCAAUUUGCUUUUGGCAUUGGUACAAUAAUUUAUUGCAUAAGAACUCCUUUAAGGAUUCAUUAUAAAGCUGUAGAAGUAUUUUUAAUAGUUAAUAGAGAGCUGCAUGCAGCUUUUAUUAUUUUUGUUGAAAUAUAAUUUUUUUAGAAAUUGUUGAAGUGGAACUAAUGUUCCUUCUGAAAGCACAAUAAAGGGGCCAGACUUAUCAUAUACAUAGAUGCAUAUAUUGGGGGUCAAAAGAGUCAAAAGGCAGAAAAAAAAAAAUAAUGCUGACAUUUGCCAAAUUGCAUUCAUUGGGAUUUUUUUUUUUUUUUUAAUUAAAGAAACAGAAACAUAAAAUGUUCAAACACUGUCUUGGAAAACAUGUCAGAAGGUGUCAGAAGGUUGUUGGUAAUCAUAGGUGAAUGAGAUUAAGAUUUACUUUAUUCUCUGAAGGUUUCUUUGACAAAGGCAGUGCAACAAAAGUUGUGUUUGUUCAAUAUUGAAAGAAAGGUAUAUGUUGGUUUUGCUCAGAUAUCAUAUAUUAACUUCUACAUUUUUUACUAUAUUAAGGUAUCCACAACACAUACAGGACAACUAUUGGAUCUGGAAUUUUGUUUGUUUUGCUUUUUGUUUGGUUCUCCUUUUGGCCUGUAAAUAUUUUUCCUCAGUAUUUACUGUUUGAGGGAAAAGCUACACUGCAGUACUUUUUCAUUGCGAUUGCAGGGAAAAUGGUUUCAGCAGCUCUCUUCCUGAUUCCCUGCCAGCUGGAGGCAGCAGCUGCUGGUUCCCCACCCCUCCAGCUGCCUCUAGAGCUGUGCUGGAUUUAGCAGAGUUGUGGUACCAUGGUUGAGAGAAGCAGCCGAUGAGGAUGGCUUUGCUAAUGUCUUCUGAAGUUUUGGACCGCUGCACUAGAACAGUCCUUUCCACCUGGAAAUAUUCUGUCUAAAAGAGAAUGUUCAGCAAUUAUAUGUUCUGUGUUAUAUUUAUUCUUAUGUUAUGAAUCUCAUUGCAAAACUGUGUGCUAUACUGCAAUGCAGGAGGGAGUAUAAUAUUAAUUAACAGUAGAGAUGGCUUUGCUGUAAGCAAACUUGGAGUUUUCUAAAGGAGCAUUUUCUGUACAUAAACAACUAUAAAAGGCAAUCAGAUUUAUAGUUGGAAGAACUGUUGGCCUUGAGUGGUUAUGUGUUCUUUAGCAGAGAACACAUAUUUGGUCCUUGAGCAUUUUUUUUCAGUUGAGUUAAUGACAAGCUCUAUUAAAAAAAGAUUGCAUGCUUAUAUCUUGUUUGGCAUUGAAAUGAAGAUAUGGGAUCAGCACCAAGGUACUUGUGUGAAAGUGGUUCAGAAAAUGGGAAGGUAGAAUCUAAGGGUAGUUAUUUGGAUGUGAUUUUAGUGGGGAUGCCUCUCAUUUUGAAACUAGGGGUUAGAUGAGGAGCCACAGUAUUUGCUAAAUGUGGAAGUGUUAGGGGAAGAAGACUGACAAAGUCAAGGCUGGCAUGGAUUUUGCUGUUUAGGUUUAUAUAAUGUUGUUGGGUUUUUUUUGUAUUUUUUUUCCUGUUCCUUUUAGUUAUAUUAUUUUAUAUCAUUUUCCCUUAGGUAUAUCUUUCUUCCUUCUGGUGUCCUCCUGUCUGUCAUAUGUAGGCUGCACUCUGUUCCUACAUUUCUUAAAUCUCCACACUGAUAUUGAAUAGAUCUGUGAUUUAUUCCAAAUCUCCCUUUACCAACAGAAAGCUCAUUGUCUGGAAAAAUUCAGUGUCUACUGUAGCUACCUGUGCUUUCCUCACACUUGUCUUCCUUCAUCACCAUCUUCCAUUCACAGUCCCUCAUUCACCUCACCUUUCAAACACCUCCUGAUGAGAACAUUAAAUGUGGAAAUAAGCUAAGUCUAUAAUGGAUAGAAUGCAAUGGAUAGAAUUAGGAAGGGAAAAAAAAAUGGCUGUGGGAGAUGGAUGAGUGGAAGAAGCAGUGAUUUCAGGGAGGCUUCUUGCAGCUCUGCUCCUUAGUAGCUUUCACCUCAGCAUCUUUUUAGUAGUCAUUUGCUGUUUUUUUCUGGAGAAACACUUCUGAGAUCUGGGUAUGCAGGCGACAAAAACGCAUCUGAUGUCAAAACCCACUGGCAUAAGAGGUUCUAAGCUAAGAAGGUAACAUCAAAUGAUGGAAAUAAUUGUGUGGUUUCUUCAGCUUCCCUUUAGAACAUGAAGCUCUUCACUGUGUUUAAAAUUUGAAGAGCCCUCUGACUGAAAAUGUUUGUCUGGCUGUCUGGAAUUUGUAGAUUGUGGUUCAUUGGCUAUUGAGACUGAGAUAAACACUGACAUUUUAAUGAAAAUGUUUUAAAAGGUAUAUUUGAUUUUAGCACAUUUCCUAAGCAUGAAACACCUUAAUAAGCAAAUAUUAUGGAAGAUCGAUCUGUGUUCUGAAUAUAUCGUGUUAAAUAUUAAAACAAAAUUCAGUCUUCAAAGUUUGAAAGAUAAAUGUAUAAACCUCAGCAUGACCUUAAAUAUGACACUACUAUCAGUGCCUUUAUGAUAAAUUGCCAAAAGCAAUAAUCUCUAUCUGUGAUCAGAUAUGGUCACAGGAUCUCUGGAGUUAGAUUUCUGCUUAUGCAGAGGGUUCCAUUCAGUUUAUCAAAAAAGUGGAUUUAAAAGCAGAACACAAUCUAUUAAGAUGCAAGACCUGGCAAGCUUUGUGUUUCUUCAGUAGUAUAAAAUCUGAACUGCUUUAGUUGUUGAUGGAAUUAAGCUUUUCCCCAAAUGUCUGUGAUAUGACUGACUUUUUCAAGAGACACAGAAAGCUGGCAAGUGGAUAAAAGAGGAAAAUGUUUUUAAAUACUUUGCUUUAAAGUACAAAGUGGUAUAUGUGUGUGUGUGGAGGGGUGCUAAAUGAAUGCCUGGAUAUUGUUAGCUACUGGAAUUGGCAAGCACUCAUCUCUGUGAGUUUCACAUUUUUUUACCAGGUUUUUAAGCUUCAGAAUUAGUUAUGAAAGGGAAGAGUGGGAAUCUGCAGAGGAAACUUCAGAGCUGUCUCAGUCUCAGUCUGGAGAGAAACCUGGGAGACGUGGUUGCACACAAGAAUGUUUUUGCUUGUUUAAGGAAGAAGCUGAGACAAGUGGCCUACUAAAUAAAUAAAUAUUGUAGCCAUUGCGAUGAUAAAGAGAGCAGAUUUGCUGUAUCUAUCUGGUAGAGAGUGGGAUGGUUAUAAAGGUGAGUCAAGCAGGGCUGGUGAGAUUUCUGGAAGUCAUUCUGUCAGAUCUGCUGUGUAGGAACAGACAAACAAGAAGAAGAGUCAGCUCAAAAUCUGCAAAUAUUCAUGUUUUUAAUCAUAUGUUUCCAUUUCUGUUUAAGUCGGUAGAGAGACUAAUUUUCACCUGGUGUCCUUGACUGAGACAACAACUUUGGAUCAGCCCCCUUACAAUGCGUUAGGUCUCUGCUACACCAGAUCUCCAAUCUGCUUUUCUUGUAAUUACUUUUUAAGAAGUCAUCACACAUUUAUUGCUGCUUUGAUUCCUAACAUGAACCUAAUAGUGAUUUGAUUUUGGAUGGUUCUGAAGAAGUUUUUCUCAGAUGGUUUAAGUUUUUCUUAAUUGCAUGUUGUACAGAAAAAAUAUCUUUUGAAAUCUUUUCAACAAAGGAGUGCUCUCUGGUAGUCAGUCUAGCACUUAAUAUUAUUAAUUAAUUUAUGAAGUACAGAGUGGCACAAAUUAUUGUUUACUUUAGUUUUAGCACUACUCAUGAUGGAUAAUAAAAUAAACAAACCUGUAUGGCUGUUGAGCAUUUUAAAUGCUUCAUUUAAAAAGUAGUUAUCUUCCUUUUUUGAAAUGGCAACAUGCUUAUUUUAACAAUAUUGAUUAAUUAGGUUUCUGCUUAAUGAGGAAUAUGCAAGGUGGAGGAUAUCUGGCUGUGUGCUGUAUGAGGCACUCAUUGAAGUGAGGCCUGAGUUGAGUGCAGCAUGUUCCUGCCUGUACACCUUGAACAUGUAUUUAAAUCCCUGCAAGUUCAGAGUCUCAUAGACAAAACACAGAUGGGAGAUGGAAAAUGUUGAUAUUUAGCAUGUGGGGAAAUGAGAGAUGGCUUUUUUACAGGCAGAAAUAAUUAUUUGAAAAACAAUACGAAAAAAGGUUAGGUGCAUGAGAUCACUUUGAGCUUCUUGUAGCUAUUUCUAUGUAAUUCAAGGAUACUUUACUUCAUAUUUUCUAAACAGAUUUGCAAACUCUCUGAAUUGGCUGUCAUGAACUGUAAAUGAUCUGCUUCUUGAGAAGGUGUGUCUACCUAUUUUGUAUAUGUUAAAGCAAUUUAGGAUUUCAUGGUGUGUGAAAGCACUUGUAAGAGGACCUUGCGGAGAAGAAACCAUGAUUUUUAAAAGCUGUUUUGUGGUUGAUACCUUUUACAUUGUUGGAACUUGCUUUAGGACAGGGCUGAUGAAGGCAAUAUGAAUCUGUGUGCAUUACUAUUUUUUGCACUGAUCCUAGUCCUCAUAGAAAUAGAUUUACUCACAAACAGGGGUAAGUCUUUAAAUUAAAUGGGAUUAUCUCUUUCUGUUGCCUUAAUCUUGUCCUUAUGAGUUUGUGUAAAUCUGCUUCCUUCGUUGUUAUGCAUCACACAAAAGGUACUAAAAAUAACGGUUUAAUUUUUUUUAGUGCAUACUUAAACAGAGAUAAAAAGAUAAAGUAUAUUUUCUUUUUAUGUAACUCCUGCUGGGCUGAUAUUACUCCUUUUUAAUGUCAUUUUGUGUCAACAUACCCAGCAAAAGCUGUAGGAUCUUAAAUACCACCCACACAAAUAGUCUCUGAUUCCUGCAAGGAGUCAUUUUCCUUAAGUAUCUAUCCAGCAGAUGGAUCACAUUUUCCUUCUAUGGCAGAAACAGUUGAAGCAGGAUGGAGCCACAGGAACAUCAUAUUACGCCAUAGUUUCGGUUCAUUUUACUUGCUAUCUUCCUGUAACUUGCAUAGCGUCUUGAGACAUUAAUGAUCUUCCUUUUUUAGUAGCAAUAAAAAUUUUCCUACUGUGUUGUGUUUUCCUUUGUUUUAAAACUCUUGUCUGGCUUGGAAAUUUAAUAUGAAGGACUUUGGUCUGAGCAGCCAAUCUUAAGUUCAGAUAAGAAUGGGAAAAGGUUCUGUUGCUGGACUGAAUCAUUCUUUUGGCAAAGAGUUCAUGGAAAAAACAGUUAUACAAGCUUCAGCUUUCAAAUACAGGCAAGAUGCUAUGAUAAUAGUGCAUGGAAAAAUGGAGAAGAGACUUACUGCUCUGCAACUUUGCUAGGUAUACAUGCAUGAAGCGAUAUUAUGCUAUUUUAAUGGAACUUCGUUGAUUGAAAUUGUACUGGUUUUUUUCCCUGUCAGGAUACCAUGAAUGUAGGCUGCCUGGACUAGCUGCAUUCACUUCUCAUUUUAGCCAGCAGAACUGCAAAGGCCUGAUGUUGAGACUGGCUAGUACAGUCUUAAUGACUAGAUUGUGAAACAGGUUUUUCAUGGGAGAUGGAAACAAAGCUGAGCUGACAAGCAUUGCAUAGUAAAUGAAAAUGAAAUCUUUUUAACCUGUCUCAUGGCUCUGUAAUUCCUCUGUUUUCUUGCCAAAAUUCAUUUUCUACUCAUCUAAUUCCAAAGAUCUUAGCAAGCUUAGGAUUUUCAUCUUUUUUUUUUCUUUUUCACAAGCAAAUUUCCCCCAACUUUUUUUGAUAACGGUAACUGCCAUUUAUGGAUUGAUAGUGUAUAUUUGCCUGCACCUGCUUUAUUUUUUUUUUUAAUACAUUUCAAGAUUAGCAGCAUGAAGGCAGUACAUUUUAGUUUCUAAUCCUCCACCAUGUAUUAACUCUGUACUGUUGAAACUGCUAGUAGUUAUACAUAAAUUAGUCUACAGCCUGCCACUGUGAGGCUUGUAAGCUAGUAUUUCUUAUAUAGGGUCAGUUAAACAGACAGGAAUUUUCCCAAGACAGAAAGAUUUUUUUAUGACUAAAUAAUUGCCAGGCCUGAUCAUUACAUUAUACUUCUUGAGAGACAGGCCCAGCUUCAAUUCUCAUUCCAGUGAGAUCCAGUGAUGUUAUCAGUAAAGUCCUAUGGUGAAAAUGAGAGGAGAUCCAAAGGAUCCUUGAUCCUUUUAUGUAAAGAAGGGCAGAUGAAGUAUUGGAGUGUGCUUACCUUGGGAGGAAUAUAGAAAGGGCAGGAAUAAAGUGCUUAAUGCCGAGUUUUAUGGGAUCAAAGCUGGGGCAUGGCCAGUUGGAGAAAGGAAAGAAAAAGGAAUGGAGAAGAAAGUGAGAAAGCUCUGGAACACAGCCUCAUGGCAAUAAGGAUACGGGGAGAGACUUAAAUAAUGAAUGAUCAAAUUAUGGGUUUAAUAUUGCCCUGUACGACAAUGUAUUAAUGAAAAGAGAUGAAGAUCUGGGGCAUGGAUACCUGGGGCACAGCAGGGCAGGGGAGCCACUGUACACCCUUGAGGGAUUAAGUACUGCCCCACAGUCAUCUGAGAGAGAGGGAGGGACAACACUACUGAAAGGUACUAUUUUUAUCAUCUUAGUAUUCCAAAUAAAAGUAGGAGAUCUGUUUUUUGCGCCCUCCCCCCCCUUUUUUUUUUUCCCAAAGCUUUUAAAUCUGUGAAAACAUCUGGACUUCAGUACAAUUGCUCCUUGUAUGGCUGAAGUGAACAGUAUCCAUUUCCUAUAGAAACACUGGAGUGACUGUGAUAACUCUGUUGCUGCACUCUCUUCGUUUUCAGAAAUGCUUGAGACAGUACUUCCACCCCAUGAGGCUUUUUUGGAAAUGUCUUUUUAAUACCUGGAAAUAAGUUUGUGAAAGGAACAAAUUUAAGGAGGAACUACUUCAAGAUAUGGCAAAUUCAUGUUUGGGAAUAGAAUAUCCUCUCUCAAUAUUCUUUGAAGAUUCAAGAACUAGAUUGCAAAUCUCUUUGGUUUGUAAACAUCUUCCUGUCAUUGUCACUGGGGCACUCUAGAGCCCUUUUCGUAGUGACAAAAUAUAGUAAUCACGGCUUUUCUUUGCUCCUUGGAAAGCUACUUGGACCCUAGUUCUGCUGUUUUGAUGUUAGCUAGCCACCACUAAAUUUUAUAAUGUGCUUUUAACAUAUUUUGCACUACUGCCAUCUCAUUUUCUUUUCUUAUUAGCUCCUCAGUUUCUCUUGGGGAAAGACAAAAGAAGAUGCAGGUAAAUUUAAGGUCAUUGACAGGAAGAAUAAUAUCCAGUACCUGUUAAAGCAAUGGAAAACCUCUUCUUAUGGAUGAAUAUUCUAAAAUUUUGAAUACGCACAAAGAAGCAAGGUAGUACUUUGAAAGUGUAGAAGUUUUAAAUUUAUAUUACAUUCUCCUGCAUUAGUCACAUUGAUUUAAACAUAAGACCUUGGUAGAUUUGCCAUAAGUAGACUCCAUCAAUUUUAUUUGUAUGAUUAAACUCUGAAGUGGUAUGAAGACUGCUUGGAGAAAUGCAAGAGGAAGAUGAUUAGAAUAAUCUAUUCCCUAAGAGGAAAAACAUGAAAAAUGUUUGUGCUGAAACAGAAAGGUCUAGAGGUAAUCGUGGAGAUGGGGAGGAAUGUGAUUAUCUCAGAGGCACCUAAGAAAAGGUUGCUUGAGAAAUACAAACACAUUUAAAAUUUAUUAGGGCACAGAAAACACGAGCACCAAACCCCUGUUUCUGUAAAUGUUUAGAUAAAAAAAGAACUAACGUGCAAUAUCCACAUAGUGAAGCAAAUAAAUUGAACACUUUGCCUUGCUGUGUUGUAACUGAACCGUGGUAUUGGAUUUUUACCUGGAAUUACUCAACUUCACUUUGAGCAUCCUAAUUUUCAUUAGUAAAAGGGAUUAAUAAAUAGGAGGGAGAGAAAUGAAAGAUUCAGAAAUGGAUGUGAGACUUAUUCAUUAUAAAGUACAGUUAAAACAGGUAAAUAUAGAUUUGGUGGAAAUCUGAUAAAUUAUUAAGAUGAAAAUAUGAUAAAUCCAAAAGCAUAUAAAUAAUUGAGACCCAAUCUACUUAUUCUGUCUCAGGUGAAAGGAAAAUGUUUGUGUUUCUAAACAGCAUGCCUGUUUUAGAAAAACUGCAUUUAGGUGAAUAGUCCUCUGUCAUUAUUGGAAUGGAAUACUGAUGUGUGUAUAGGCUUGUAAGAUCAAGCUGUUAGUAUUGUUAUGCUAAUUAUAAUAAAUAAAGACUCAUGAAACAUAUAGGUGAGCACAUGUGCAGUCUACACGUGGCCUUAGAUGUUAUGUACGUCCCAGUCAGUAAAAACAUUUCCUAGUAAGAUUUGCAUUGUUUCCCCCAUUUUCUCUUCCACCACAGAAGCUAUGAGAUGGCACAGGGAAAGAGAAAAUUCUGCUUGCAAGAAGCACAGUUUAAUGCCUGCCAGGUUUGUAUUGUGUCAUAUAGGUUUUUGCUUUUUCUGGAGGCUUAUAUAUAACUCUCUCUUGAGUAUGUAUGAAUAUUUUUAUGUAUUUGUCUGUCUUCGGAAAGGGAAGGGUUUUACAACGCUAACAACAAAGUAUCACCUUUACCUAAAGAGGCGUAACAGAUGAAAAGCUGUGUAUUUCUUGCAUCCAAUUGCUUAAAUGUCUGCCUGUGCAAAUGUGACCACUAACACAAUGUACACACAACACAUCUUCACAGAACUUUGGUGUAUACAGACAGUAUAGAUUCUGCUAAAUAUACCAAAAAUGUUCUAGACAACUGGCUUGCUUGGUUCUCUUUAGCAUUCCUAAGGGAUUAUCUUCACUUUUGUAAUGUUGUUUUCUCUUGAGGAAUGCUUUUACAUCUUUCGAGCAGACAUAAACCGAAAUGAUAAUGCUCACGUUUCAUUUACGAAACUGUUUGCUGUCAGGAUCUGACAUGGCUUUUACUUGUGCCGUAAUGUCAAGAAUUCAUGGCAAGAUUGAAAUCAACAGAAUUUUUGAGAUUCUUUGUGUCUUGGGGCAGAGAGAUAUUUGGAUAGAUCCAGAAUGAGAAAUGAUUGACCAGUUUUAGACCAUACUAAACCAUAUUGAAUUAUGGCUGUGUGAAAAAACAUCUAUGCACAUUGUACCUUAUAAGUCAAAUAUACAAAUUUCUUGUUUCAGUUUUGAUCUCUAAAAUCAAGCUUAGGUGUUUUUUUGGUUUUUUUUUGUUUGUUUGCUUGUUUUCUAGAGAGUUUAAGGUGGAUGUAGUUACUGUUAUUUUGGGGAGUUUUAUCGUUGUUGUCCUCGGCAUCAAAUAUAUCAUAUAAAGAUGACAAUUAAAUUUGUAUACUGGCUACAAUGAAUUGUAAUAUUAAAAGGAUUGCUUUUUACUUGCAUUAGAUAUAAUGCAUUAUAUGUACAGUCUUCUGCAGGUUUAUUGGAAUAUACUUUUUGGACAAGUAAAAAUUGUCAGCCUACUGAAGCUGAGCAAUUUUCAGGUGAACAGUUAAAUCAGUGCAUGUUUGCCAGGAUAAUUAGUAGUUGCAGUUGCCACUUACACUCAUUAGAGAUUUUAAACACUGGAAUAAUUUAAAACACUAACUAAUUAAUCGCUGCCACACUGCUGUGAGGCAGAUAACAAAUGCCGUACUAUGCAACCAUGGUAGAGAUGAUAAAGUGAGGCACAAAAUUUGCUAAUUUUGUAGUUAAGCCAGGAUUAUCACCCAGUAGACCUGAAUCCUAGUCAGUCAUGUGCUUUAACCACUAACACUCAUCUGAACUAGAAGAAUUAGAGAAGAGUUCACAUCUCAUAAAAGAAGAAAAAUCCUCCUUAUUAUCAGAGAUUUUCACAUUUUUCCUGUUCAGUAACUUGAUAUGAGCAUGAUGUUCUGUGGCUUGGGUCAGUCACCUUUCUUUUUAAUGCAUACAUAUGCAUUAAAAGGCAGUUAGACAUAAAACCCUGAUGUGGCACAUGUAGCUUUAUUAAUUUCAUUUUAUUACAAUGUGCUCCCAAUACCAGAUAAACUUAGAUUUUCUUAGUAAGGACUAUAUCCAUUAGGCAAUGGGUUUUUGAGCUGAAAGAAUGAUUUUUAAAAUUGAAAACAAAAAAGAAUGAAAUAAUGGCCCUACUGUUAGAUAACACUGUAUUUGGGGCUUUUAUGUCUGAGUUCAUGACACAUCAGAGCAAUUAUGCUUAUUAUUGUCCAUUACAGAAGUAGUAUUUUUGUGUAAAAUGUCUGUCGGGCACAGCUUAAAUCUCUGCACACUUAUUUCUCAUCACAGACAGCUAAAUUCUAUCUCAGCUAGAAACUUUUCCAGUCAAAGAAACCCAAUACCUAGAAAUUCCUCUAAAUUAACCAAACAGUAAGUAUGUAGCUGUGUUUUAUUCUUCAGAUCAGCAUACAGGUUGCAUGUGAGUAACCUUACUGGAUUAGAGGUGAUCGUAUGCUAUGGGAUAAUAUUAACAAGUAUAAAACAAAAUCAGAAGAUAUUUGAUACACUUUAAGAUGAAUUUUAUUAAAGGAUCAUAUCUUAUUUAACAGGGCCUUCAGGGAGGUGUUAGUUAAAAAUUUUCAGACUUUGAACAGUCAGCUCCAUGAUUAUUCCAGGAUGACUAUGUAAUCUUUUGAAGUUAAAUUACAAAAAAGAAUCCAACUAUUGUUGCAAAAAGUGAACGUGUAAAUGGAAGGUUUGUAAUUAGUGCCUCAAUAUGCUCAUGUUAAAUGUAUUAAAACGAAAUUACAGAAAUCACCACAGAGUUCUUCCAUGGCUUUGAAAAAAUAAAACUUUCCACCAGGGAAAAUUACAUUGAAAUAAGCUAUCACAACUUGAAACAGAAGAAUUCUUUAUAUUAUUUUUUUUUUCUUUAUACUUAAUAUUGGCAAAAUGUACUAGUGAUCAAUAUGCCAAGUAGGUGAUGAACCUUAGUCCUGACUAGGAGUUUGAUUUUUAUAGUUGAGGAAGAGAGUUUAGUUUUCAUAGUGAUAUACUACUUCAUUUUCCUCUGAAAUUACCAACUGGGCUGGCAAUUUUCAUGAUAAAUUUUUGAGGAGUUUUGUGUCCACUAAUACAAUACAUCUUCAAGCAUGAAUGGACUUGAUAAUAUCACUGGUCUCACAUGAUCUCUCUCUUCAUUGUGAAAAAUUAUAAGGAUUCCAUAUCUUACCUGUAAGAACUCAAAUUAAAUCAUACUUUAUAGUUAUGGGCUUUGUAGUGCACAAUGCUUCAGAUUGUGCAACUAAAACAUAAUUCGUUCUUACUUGCUUUUCUGCUCAUUGCUUUUGGUGUACAGAUUAGACUCAAUAUUUUAAUCAAUAUACAGUGUUCCUACCUACAGCACUUUUAGUGUAAUAAAAAUAGUAGCAGUUACUUACUUUCUUACAUCUCAUUGAAGUAUUUUGAAAAUAUUUUGAGAUUUCUACCUCUGUCUCAAUCUAUAGUUGUACCACUUCUAUUUUUUUUUAACAGCUCAGACCCAUUUAACUGGAAUAACCUGGAAUUUUUACUUAGUGGUUGGUUGGUUGGUUUGGUUUUUUAUGUUGUUUGUUAGUAUAUUUGUUUGGUUGUUUUGGUUUUGUUUUUCAACUUAGGAACUAAUCUUUACCAUUUUGUAUGGAAACAGAGUAAAAAAAACUAUUAUAAGUCUUUGUGAGUGACAUGAAUGGUCAACAGCUGCUUGGUGGUACAGUAAAGAUCUUUGUGUGUGUUUGUGUGCAUGUGAAAAUGCAUACAUGCACAUGCAUAUAUAUACAGGUAAAUAUGAACAGUGGUCAGGCUAUCACAGGGAAAUGUAUUGGUAUCUAAAAAAGCAUGCAGGAGUUCUAGUGUUAAAGUGCUCUAAUACAUAAAUCACCAUAUUUAUGGGUGUACUAUGGAUUGGUUCCACAGCCAUGUAAAUACUUAGUUGCAUUCUUCUGUUAAGUUUGCAAGUGAUACUUCAUUUUAGGUAGGGAUCAUGGUGAUGUUAAGGAAAAUGCAUGAGUGUUAGUCAACUUUACCUCUUGCCUUGAAAAGUAAUCAUAUUACUCUCAGAUUUACAUUGGAGAAGAACUUUAUUGAACUUUUACCCAAACGUGAAGGAAAAGAAUUAAUCGUAGGCUUGGAAAAGACUAUGUUUUUAUAUCCUAACUACUUAAAACACAAAUUAUGUGAAAGUCUCCAUGGAAAGUAAAAGUGACUGGAAAGCUUUUCCCUCAAGCAUGUCCACAGUCAUGUAAAGCCCAAUAUUUCCCACGCUCAUUAGCAAAUAUAGUCAGGCAGUUUUUGUUUGCUUUUUGAAUGUUAAAUUUCAGAUAGAGUUUCUUUUCUAUUGAUUUUAUAUGUACACAUGUAUUAAAAUAUCUGUACAUGUGUUUGGGGACUUGCAUUUCUAAAAAAUAAGGGCCACAAAAUAUGUUAGGCUGCAGCAUGUUAAAUAAUGUAUUAGUGUUUGCACUUCUCAAAAUUUUUUUUUUUUUUUAAGAGGUAAGAUGCUGUGCUGAAGAGUGGAAAUAUUUUAAUGUUCUUGUUUACUUGUGUCAGUAAGCUCAUUUGUGUAUAUUUGAUAUUUUAGUUCUUGUCACUCCCUGUUCUGCCUAAUAGGGCUCUCCUGGUUGGACUAAACAGGUCUUCGCUUCGAUAGUUGUAUGAUUUGGACAUCUGUAAUUUCCUUAGUGGUGAGGUCCCUUUUGUUGCAGUGGGUAGAGGACUGGGAGCCUCCACUUCUCUGUCUAGAUAAAGCGUAUUUGGGGAAUAAGAGGAAACAAAAUCCAGCACUGGAGUAAGACCCCACCUGUAGUAAUAUCCAGAGUAACACACUGAAUCCUUCCUAAUGCCUGCAUUUCCCUGUGAAAUCUUGAUAGCAGGCCAGUGGAAAAAAAAACUCCCAAAGCUGUGAAGAAAGCCCAGCUUUUCUGUAUUGAGCAUAGAAGAUUUCCUAAUGAAGUUUGAAAGGAGCUAAAGAAAUUAUGUCUUGCUGUUGUCCAGAUCAAUGUUCAAAGAAGAUACUUCAGUCAAAAAUAAGUUUCAGAGCUGUUCAAUUUCCUUUAUUUUCCUUAAAGGUCUAAUUAGGUUUUUUUCCACACACGUUGUAUUUACUUCAUAACCAAGAAAAUGCUUUCCCUAUGUUCAGUAUCGUAUUUUGUAAUUCAGUCAAAAUGGUAUCAUUUAAAAGAUUAAUUUUGCUGCACUCUCUGCUUCUUCUUUUUUUUUUUUUUCCUCCUGAAUAUGUUCUGUCAGAAAGACACAAAGACUUUGCUUUGAUUAUUUUUAUGCAUUAACAUGGUUUCUGCACAAUAAAGAAAAAAAGCCCCAAACUCUCACAUUAAUGUCACUAAUAUUAAAUAUUGCUAUAUUGAACUGUUUCUGAAGACUGAUAUUCCUGCUGUUGAUUACUGUAUUUUUUUAAAUACAGCAUUUUAAUACAGAAAACUCUCCCACUAUUUCAUGGCGGCUUUAAUAUUUUUUUGAUACAAACACUUGUUUGUAUCAUCAGAGUUAACCUAAGGGGAUUUACCUUUGCUUAGUUGUAUUAUUAAUCUGUAAUACUAAUCAAUAGUUAGUUAAAUAAUGUUUGUCAGUUAUUGAAGAGAUUUUAUAUUAAAGAUACAUUUGGUACAGAUCCUCCAAAAGUAAGUGUGGAUAUUUUUAUAACUAGCUUAGAGGGAACACAGAGUUUCUUUGAAGCUUGAAAGCAGAAAUCCCGGAAUGACAGAAAUGUCUUUAGUGGGGGAAGGAGGGUAGGGAAGGAGAGGAAAUACCUUCAUAAAAUCUGAAAAGCACAUUCCUGUUCUCUGAUAAUAGAUACUGUAGCACAAUAUUUGCCAGAUUUUAGCUAAGCUGAUAAGCACAGUGGAGUGGGAAAAAAAAGGGAAAAAAAAAAUGAACUUAAGCAAAUACUGGCUAUUAAUAAUUUUACUAGCACAUUUAUAAAUAAGAAAUUUUAUGGGCGUGAGUGAAAUUCAAACAAGAAAAACCAGUGAGUUUUAUCUAAGUGGUGUAAUGGCAGAUCAACAUAGCUGACCUGAAGGUCAUUUUAACAUUUGAAUAGCUAAUAUUUUCUCCUCAGGAGUGCCACAUAUUUAAUCUGUGACAAGAACAGUGCAAAUUUUGUGUGAGAAAGUGAUUGCGCCACUUUUUCUAAGAAAACAUAUUAAAAAUAAAGCUGGCUUUUUUACUUGGUAAAUUAUACAGAUUAACAGCUAAAAGUUAUGUUAUCAGAGGCAGGUGAAAAAUCCUCUAGAUGCAUAUCACAGGCUUCUAGAGAAGAAAAAAGAUUACAUCAAUAUAUGCAUGUGUGUGUGUGUGUAUAUAUAUAUAAAUAGAUAUAUAGUAUCAGUACAUACAUACAGACAAUUAAAUGUCAUUGCCUGUGCCUGGCACAUAACUAGUAAUUGGCUAAUCAAAAAAAUUUCUAAGCAGUAAAGAUUACCUGGGUGAUGAUUACCGUUUAUUCUUUUCUUGCUUUGAAUGAUUUAGUUUUAAAUCCAUGAAAAAAAUAAGGGGAUGAUUUCUUUCAUGAAAUUUCUAGCACUUCUUAGAUUAGCUAGUAUAUAUCUUUAUCUGUCAUUACCAAGUCAGAAUAUGGAAGAAAGUAAUCAGGAAAAAAAAAAUAGUACUUUAAAAGAUAAAAACUAAAAGAGCACAGGUACUGUGAAGAUCAUAUUUAGGGCAGAAUACCUAAAGAAUGCCUCGUUUUAUUUAAACCAGUUUUCUAAUUCCCUGCUAGGCCAAUUUGUACAUAGGACAUGGGUUGUAUUUUUGGAUCUGCAGUGAUAUUUUAAAUGAAUCAUAUUAUUUCUCUGUCUCAUCUUCCACAUUUCUAAAUAGGGGUAAUAAGAUUUAUUAUCUUAAAGUAUAUUAAAGACAGUAUAAAGCUCCAAAUUUUUAUUAACACACACACAUACACACCUAAGCAAAGGAGAUCACAUUCUGACGAUGAACCUAAAGUAGGACACUGUCCAAGUGUCACAGAACUAAAGUCUUAAUCUUUGUGGAGAAAAAUUAAAAAGCAUGGAUAUGUACAUAUUUACACAGUAUUUGAGAAACAGAAAUUAAUGUAUUUUGAGGCAGUGUUCUUCUGACGCACUGAGGAAAUGGAACACAAGGAGGGCAGUAGCAUGGUCAUGGAAACCCUGACCCUGUUUGAAGCAGCCAUGGUACAGGAUGAGUCCAAGUGGGAAGACCCAGAGUUGCUUCCAGCUCUUGGGUCCUGCUGUGGUAGCAGCUUCUCUUCUGACUCCUCAUUUACUGUAACAUGGAUACAAAUUAGUGUCCCCUCUCUGUGCUGUGGAUCUCAUGAAAAGGAGAUCCAAGUACCUUCCCCAGAUUGAUGUCCCAAGCAUAGGCCAAAUCUCAGUGGUCCAGAAGGACAAGCAGUUAAUAGCCCAAAAAAGUACUGCUUGGGUUACCAUCAUUUUUCACGUUUACCAUAACAAUGAGUAUAACAACUAACAGAAACAAUGUAAUGCUGUAAUAUGAUUAUUGACGAUGAAGUAAGUAAUACAAUGUAAAGCAGAAUAAAGAUUUAGACUUCUUUUUUAAUUAUAAAAACUUACAGAAAAAAUAGAGUGAUUACUUAGAACUGCAUGCAUUUCUCUAGUGUUUUGUACCUCAACCACUUACAUAUUGAGGGAAUACACGGCAACUAGAAAAUGAAAGGGAGCAAAGCGAUUAGUCAGCUUGCUAAUGUGUUUUCCUUAUCAGACUGAAGGAAGAGAUAAGAACAAGCCAGUAGCAUACAUUAUGGAAAAGCGAUGCAGUGUCAGAUGCGUCUUUGUGAGGUAAAUCUGUGCAGUGCGAGAGAUUUAACUUUUUCCUUAAUAUAGAAUUCCAAAUUCUAUAAAUAACAUAAUAAAAUACUCUUGUGUGUAUAAUGACCUGGUAUACAUUCCUGAAUCUAAUUCAUGUUUCCCAGGUGACGUUAGGCAACUAACGCAAAUCUCCUCUAUCAUCAGCAUGUGUAUACCUCAGCAGGAACCUAUAAUUUGUUCCCUUCUCAGCCAGUUCAUUACCAAUGCAAAAAAAUACAGUAUUUCACCCUCCUUUGAUGUGUCAUGUCAUCUGAUUCCAAACAAUUGCAGCCACUUGCAUCCAGACAAUUUUUAAAGCAAUCCUGAACCUCAGCGUCAUGGGGUCUGUGAUAGGGAACCUAUUCUUUCUGUGUUUCAACCACUACCUGGUCUUGCCUGGUGUCUUUAAACACCACUGUAACAGAGUAACAAUAAUCAUGUUGGUAAACUUGACCUUUUUAUUAUAAUUCCUAACAUGACUAUUCUUUAGGUCACUUUAAUGUUGACAACUACUUAACUUUGUUCGUUAGCUGCAUAGUUUUGGGAAAUUCUUUUGCAUCUAGUCGUCUUAAACCUUACUUUGGUGUACAGACAAAUCUCAAGUGCCAAAAGGAGAUUCAGCCCUAGUAUAAUAACAUAGCUGGGAUUUAACUAGUCACCUUUUAUAAUUCACUUUCCACCUCAUGAUUUGCGCAGAUGUACUGUGAGAGUAGAAAAGAUGCUGUUUGAUGAUGACUGGAAUACAAUACACACCGUGAAUGCUUGGCUAAAAUUGCAUUUUUUUGUGCCAUGCAUGCAUCGUUAGGUAUUUGAGUAAUUAAUGAUUGCACAGUAGGAUAGCAAGUUAACUCCAGGUUCGAUGUACACCUCUCUUCAUUCUAUUUGUGUAAAUUGACUUUCGGUAAAUGAAAGCAACAGUGUCCCAUAGGGAACUGGCGAGACUGAUUUCUGUUGCAAUUUUUGAGCACAUAGUGCGGUAAUCUGCUUUAGAUCACAUAGAGGUAUUUGCUUCAUCUGCAUUUCCAGCAUACUCUGAAAAGAAGUCAUUUGUGGAUCUGGAGCUUUGUGUUGUGAUACUGUUAUUGAAUUUGAUUUCACAUGUAGUGUCUUCUGGUUCACCUCUAGGAUAUUGUUGUUGAUUGUGCAAACUGAUCUCCUUGGGCCAGAAAAAUCAUCUUUAUACAGCAAAGCUUGAAAAGGCCUGUUGCAAAAGCAAGUGAAUUAAAACAAAAUGCAUACUGACAAACUCAACAUGUAAAAUACGGCAUUGGAGCCAAAUAAUUUAUUAUAACACAGAUUUUUCUUUCUCUAGUUUAUUUAUAUUUUAGAAAUCAUUAAAAAUUGUAUUUAUGCAUCGUGUUAUGUUAGUUUUGAUCAUCUUUACAUACAGAUGGUUCUACAACAGAGUUGUAGGACCAUGAGGCAAUUGUAAUUGAUUAUGAUGGACAGACUGUCUUCCAGAAUACCUAUCUGACAUGUAGGAUAUGUAUGUUCUCGCAUCUUGUUUACCUGAAAAAUGUAAAUUAAACAUAAAUUAAACAUUCAGUUCCACCAGAAGUAAAAAAUUAAAACAGGGCUUGUAGUAAGUACCUCAAACUGGCUUGAAUGAAUUUGAUUCAGCACUUAUCUUGAAUUCCUAAGAGUCCAAUAACUUCUUUCAAAUAAAAUGUAUACGUGAAUACAGUGAAAAUCUGCACAGAAAACCCAAAUCAUUGCCACUCUGUUGGAAACCUAAAUUCUGCUAAUAGUUGCUUUGAACCUGUAUAAUUGUAUUAGUUUUAGUGUUGCAGAAGAAUUUGCUGGUCACCUAUGUUGAUGCAAAAAGAAAGAUACUGCUUAUUUUACACUGUGAGAUAACCUUUGCUGACUUGCAAACACAGGGAUGAUAUAAAGCUCUUUGGAGAUAUGAGUGUCCUUGAGCCAAAUGUUUAAACUGCCCAAAGCGUCACACGCACUUAUGUAAGUACCCAACUAUUUCAUUAAAAGCCUGAGGUGAGAAGAAUUUCAAAUUAUUUGCAAUCUGCAGCUAAUGUCAAGGUGCUGUCUUGUGAAGAGCUGGUGAAAUAAUAGAAUAUACGUAAUAGUAUAAUGGAAAUAAGAAUAUGUGAUUAAUCUUAUUCUUACUUGUGCCCUGCAUCUCUCAGGAGCAGUUGCAAGGAUGCAGAGGAGGAACAAGUUAAAAGUAAUUAUUUCUUCUACAUUGACCCCUCAUAUAGUUCAGAGAAUACUUUGGAGUGCCUUAAACUGCAUUUGCAGAGUGUGGUUCCUUGUUGCUUGGCACCUGCUGUGCAGAAUAAAUAUGUGAGUGAGUUGUCAUCUGCUGGGUGCCUUUGUGGUGGGAGAAGGAGCUCUGUCAGUCUGCCACGCCUGAGGAAUUUCCACUUUGCUGCUGCCAAAGCUGUUGAUGUUAUGGUUGGUGCUUUCAGCUAGAGCAAAGUAACUGUAGGCGUAGGGGAAAACUUGGUCCCAUGUCCAAGCAAACUAUUAGUUAUAAUCUCUACACUUGAGUGCAAGCCAGGAGAAGAUGGUGAAGGCAUGCAAGAAACGAGUCUCAGAGCUUAUCCCGAGUAAGCACAUGGCAGUAAGCUUCCAGGCUCCCACUGAUAUUAACAGCUGAGCUAUAAAAAUGACUUUCAGUUUAAAUCCAGGCUCUCCUAUUGAUUUCCAGCUUGAUUUUUAUAUGAAAGUCAUAUCUCUCUCUUAUCAGCUUCUUGCAGCUCUAGUUGGUUUGGCACUUUGUGAUGUUCUUGACAUUGUUCAGAGAGAUGUUAAGUUAAAGCCGAACAGCUUUCUUGAACUGAAAUUUAAACAAGAACGUGACAAUCCUGGAAUUUUACUUGAGACUCAGAAGCAUGUCUUCUAAAGUACCUGAAAACUGCCUUUUAAGAAGCAUUUCAGACAGGCCCAUUGCUAGCAGUAACUAUUUCAUAAUUCAGGUGCAAAUAUUAACUGUUCAGGUUUUGAUAGACACUGUUCAACUACAGAAAAAGUACUAUUUAGGAAAGGAUAUCCUGAUGCUAAUCUGAAGUCUGUGGGAAGCUUUUCUCACAUUACCUCACCCCACCCCAGAAGAUUUUUUGGCUUCACAGAAAUAAAUUAGUUUGUGUGGGUACCUUUUUCACAUGAUGGGAUUAAUAAAGCUGUAGGUUUCACAGUUAUUCUGUGUGGAUUAGCAUCAGCUGUGUGUUUUUGAGAUUGUUAAAAGAAACAGUGACGGUGGGAUUAGAAAAGAUACUGGAUGAUGAAAGUGUGAUGUGGUCCUGUUAAAGAAAAAGGAGGUAUGUUACAGCAUGAUUAUCUCUCUAAAAUUUCUGAGUAGAGGUUUACCUGGAGAGUGGCAAUGGUUGGGGUUGUUACAGAGAGUAGAGAAUUAAUGAUGAACCUGUUAUUUUCAGUCUUGAUUGAAGUCCUUUGUUGUAGGUAAGCACUAUUUAAAGGCUGUAGUUGCUGUUAUGAAUUUGUAUCCCCUUUUUGCAAAGGGCUAUUGCUUGUUGUCUGACUGACAGCUAAAAUUGGCCAGGAACUGAAAAUUAAAAAUAGGAAAAUAUAUCAAGAAGAAGAACAUGUAAACUAUUACGACCUUUGAAAUGGUGACAUAGAGGAGUUUUCUGAGGAAUGGGUUGGGGAAAUAACUGCAAAUUUGAAAGAACUGGCUUAUGUGGUAGUGUCUCCUUUCCCUGCAAUCACUAUUUUGAGGUGUUAUUUGAACCCCCUAUAAACUCCUUUCUGGUCCUUUGUUUCACAGUAACUUUGUUAGUUAGGACUUUACUGUUAGGAGAAUAUGAAGAACCUUUAUUUGUCUGCUUUCGGGUGUUGUAAAUUAUUGGCUUGUGAUCACAUUUCCCACAGAAUAGAGAAGAAGAGUUUCAUGUUCAUUGUUGGUAGGUGUCAAAUCAGAUGAAGAUGUGUAUUGAGUUUCAUGGAUUGUACACAAUGCUUUAAUAUGUGCAAAGACAAAAAAACUCUUCUGAUUUUAAUGGUGAUGAACAAUAUUUGAUUUUUCUUGCCAGUAUUUCCCUUGGAAUUUAAAAGCAGAUUCCAAGCACAUGCAAAGAGGAGAUGGGAAUUACACACCUGAAUUAAAUACAUGAAGAAUCUAGGAAAAAAACAAACAAACAAAAAAAAAACAACUAAUCUUGCUUUUAUGAGCUAGUUACUCUUAACUGGCUUGCAGAGAGCUUUUGGGAGAGGGGAGUAAGGUGUGGAUAGAAGAGAUGUAAAGAUUUCGUAACUGGUCACAGCAGUUUCACACCUUGCUGUAAUCAGAUACUAACUGAUAACAAAAGUCUCAUGCCAUGUUGCGAUAUUGCACAACUUAGAAGAAAGUCUAUGUAUGACGUAGCUAUGUGUAAAUUAAGUGAGUUUAUCACAUUAAACAAAUGCAAACACUUUCUUGUCUGUGGAAAACAACAUAAUGCAUGAGCGGAGACAAAAUAAAAGUGGUUUUUUAUUUGUCUUGAAUAUAAUUUUUUUGUAUGUAGUUGAGAAUAUGAUGACAUCAACAUAUAGGUGUGUGUCAGUGCUGACAUAUUGGCAAAUACUUCAUAAUGAAAGUGCUGUAUUUUCUUUCUGUAGUAAAAGCAAUUCAUAGUUAUGCUUUGGAGACUUUUGUUUCUAUUUGUUUGUCUGCUGAUUUAUAGAUGGGCAUCUUCUCUGUGUAUAAAUAAAGUAAAUAAUGAAGGUUAAUUCAUUGGGUUUAGGUGGUACUUAAAUCUUAACUAGCUUUUAUGUCUUCUGAAAAAGAAUUGCAUGGGUCCAGCUCUUGUGGCAGUUACAGUCUCUGUGGAGUCUUUGCAUAGACAGACUGGAUUCUUAGUUCAGUAGAGAGCAAGAGCAGCAAGAGAAGCACUGUCUUCAUUUAAACCCAGCCAGCAACUAAGUACCACGCAGCUGCUUGCUCAUUCCCCCUCCCCAGCCGUCAGUGGGAUGGGAGAGGGAAUCAGAAAAGUAAGAAAACUUGUGAACUGAGAUAAAGACAGUUUAAUAGGUAAAGCAAAAGCCACACACAAGUAAAGCAAAACAGGGGUUUUAUUCACCACUUCCCAUGUGCUGGCGGGUGUUCAGCCAUCUCCAGGACAGCCGGACUUCAUCACGUGUAAUGGUUACUUAGAAAGACAAAUGCUGUCAUUCUGAAUGUCCCUUCCUUCCUUCUUCUCCCAGCUUUACAUGCUGAGCAUGACAUCAUAUGGUAUGGAAUAUCCCUUUGUUCAAUUGUGGUCAGCUGUCCUGGUUGUGUCUCCUCCCUGUUUCUUGUUUACUCCCAGUCUCCUGGCUGGUGGGGUAAGGUGAGAAGCAGAAAAGGCCUUGACUCUGUGUAUGCCCUGCUCAGCAAUAAUGAAAACAUCCCUGUGUAAACAACACUGUUUUCAGCACAAAUCCAGAACAUAGCCUCAUACUAUCUAUUAUAAUAUGAAAAAAAAUUAACACUAUCCCAGCCUAAACCAGCACAAGCACUCAAAUGAUCCUGUUCGUUGUAUCCCUGUUGCUAAGCAGACAGGUUUUUGUACAAGUUGGAAUGUUUUCAGGCUCUGUGGCUGCAUUCCUAGAUGAGUUGCAAUAAUUAAACGUGAAAGCAGUGAUUACCAGCAUUGCUUGCCAAUUCCAGUUGUAUUAAAAGGGGCAAAACCAUCUGAUCAGCCCUAGACAAAAGCAAAAAUUUGUUUGACCUAUAAUUACGCACCAAACCAAUGGCAGUGUGAGUAAAAGAAACAAAAACAUACAAAUUCUCCGAAGCUAUGAAUUGUCUUAUUAUUCUACAAGGAGAUAUUCUUUGUUGGUAAGGAAUACCUUGAUUAGGAAAUUCCCUUUAAGUGACUCUUUCCAAUGGUAAUGGAUAUUUUUUUAUUUCUUUUCUUCUUUAACCUAUUUCAAGGCUCCUUGAACUUCUGAUUUUGCCAGACACUGAGUAAAUUUUUUUGUGUGUAAUAGGUAAGGCUAGGUAUUAUCUGUAAUCUGCUUGUUUUCCAGUUUGUGUUGCCUCAUCAGCUUUUUUAGCCACUUCUGCUAGGGACUGAAUAACAAGAGAGAAAGCAGAACUUUUUGCUGCUUCUCAUUUGACAGCUGCAGGGAUGCAGAAGUGACAAUAAUAAACGUCUGGGUUUCAUGUGAGUGAAAGGGCCUGUGCAAUGAUUUUCUAUUCAUCUGGAUGGUCUUUGUGAAAGCAACACAGGGGUAUAGGUGAUUCUUGUUGCUAAAUGCUGUAGAAAGGCCUGAUAAUAUGAGUAUUGGUAUCACCCAGAGAAUAAAACUAGCUCUUUUAAAAUGCAGAAAGUUUGUUGGUUUCAUUUGUUGUUUGUGUUUUUUUUUUUUUUUUGCAAGCUUAUUAAAAAAGGACAAAUAUGUUGCUUCAACAUAAAAAGAUUAACAGAAAAUAAAUCAAGAAUUAAAAUGGACUUUUUGGUCUUAGCAGGUUGUGACUAGAGUUUUUAUUCAUGUAUGUAUUUUUUAAGCUAUUGACACUUCACAGUUUCUGUAUAAUUUCUCCAGUCUUCUGACCUGCACAUAAGCUUGUGUCACAGGCAGUAGAAGACCAAGUGAGAAAAGAGGUGAGAGAGCCUGCCUCCUUAUUGUCUUCUACCUCAGGCAGAACUCCUUAUGAACUUGCCUACAAGAGAAGAUACAUCAAAUGGUUUUGCAGGCUGUACAACUAUUACAUUGGCAAGAACCUCCUCUCUGGUUAGGAAAUAGUUCUAAUUUAAGUUUCUCUCAUCAUGAAAUGAGACUUGUCCUUCUGAAAAUGGUGGCCUUGCAGAAAUGGCUUUGUUUCCACUGGAAAAUAACUGCAUGAAAAUUUCUAGAUAGCUUUUGUGAAUAUAUCUUCAUCUCCUGUGGAUGAGUUGAAAAGAUCAGAGUUUAAGCCAUAAUUCAAUACUGUGGCUGGAGGUUUGCCUUGAAAAAUUGAAGAUUCUCAGUAUGGGAACCAUUCCUUGCUCUGGGCUUUGAGAAGAAGCUAUAUAAUGGUAAUUUGUGAAGUCUUUAAUAUCUAGUAAUCAUUUUUCUCUGUACAAGUCAGACUGUUGUAAGGUUUAGGGUGAAUACAAAAUUGUGGUGUAAGUCUAAAGUUAUCAAUUUUAUUUUAUUUUUCAUUUUACUGUUUGUGUACUUAAUAUCCUCAUGUUCUGCCAGUUUCUCAAACUGAGUCAAAUAAAAACUGAAGGAUUUACACUGGGCAUGGCAGUCAGGGAGAGGAUAUCAAAACAACAGUAUGUAACUUUGAAUAUUAUAGGAAAAUAUCCUACUUGUUUUUCAUUUGAUUGCAAAGAAGACUUCAGCUGCUGCUUUGAAUUUACCAAUAGUGCUAAGUUAUUUCUUUUUAAUAGCUAGUUAAUUUUUCACCUGAUUGAUUUUUUUCAACUGAACCAUUACCCUUCACUGAUAGCUGUCAUUGCUACAAAUUUUGCUCAUUUUAAUUAUGGAUCAUAUAAAGAUUUACUUUUGUGUCUUAGUUCAAGCUGAAAGUCACAUUUUAUCAUGUAAACAAAACAAUUAAAAAUGCAUGGAGAGGAAUAGCUGUGAAUAAUGUACAUGGAUAAAUGGCUUACAUGACAGAAUGAUAUAUAAUGCUUAUGGCACAAAUCUGUUGUCUCCCAUCUUCCUGCUAUUGUAUUACUUCAUUGUAGAUUAAAUGUAUAACAUGACAUAAAUUAUUUAUUUUUCUGUGUUGUUGGGCUAAUGUUUCACUGUGCAAUAGCUCCACUUCACAAAAGCUUGAAUUUUUGCUCUUGAGUGAGCUGAUAUGGAAUCCUCUUAGCAUUUCAGCUGAUAUAUUAUUAUCUAUUAAACCAAACUCCAUGAAGAAUCAGAAUAGAUUUAAUGAGCAUCAAAGAAGGCAAAAUGAUCAGUGCUAACAAGAAGAUUGGAGAGUAUUUCUAUGAACACAUCCAAAAUGCUCCAUGGUCGUUGGUUCCCUAAACAAGGAUGCUUUAUCAUUUACUCAUUGAAACUAUCCCAAGACUUUUGCUACUCAUAGUUACUAUUUUGAGUAGAAUAUUACUACUUUUUAUGAAGAAAACUUUUACAUAAUGCACCCUUGUGUGAGGAUGAAGACCGAGGUCUCACUUCUUUGAGAUUCCUGGCUCGUUAUUUUCAAGGCCAAGUUAGUAAAUCAACAUCCUUCUGCCUGAGCUGGAUGGAGCCACAUCUCAUCUCUGUUUGAUUGCUUAAGCAUCUCGUCUUUUACCUGUGGUUUAGGCCUGGCUGUUUGACUUUGCAGUGCAAACUUAGGCACAAAUGUGUGUACUCGGGUGUGCUGAGAGACUCCUUAUCGUGGAUGCAGAAGGGCUCUGGGUCUCACCUGGGAGGCUGCACCUCCCGUGGUGUUUUGCUCUCAGGGUCUCCUGAUGGAGUCAAAAGGAGCAGGAGAGUGGAGUGUUUGGGGAGUGCAUGAGUUACCACCAUGCUUAGGAGGAAGAGCCUUGUGAAACUUCAGGAAUAUACUCCGCUGAUUUAAAAGUGGGCAAAGAUUCUGCUGCAGACAGUCAUCCUGCAUGUGGGAAGGUGUUGGCACAGGAGUUGCUGUGUGUUGAAAGGACUAACAGUAUUUUGCAAUAGCUUCUCUAUGGAGGUGGGUCCUGCCACUGCCUUAUCAAAUGAUGCAAUACAAACAAGUCUUGAAAUGGAGAUAUUUCCCAACUGUAGCAGGUAGGGGGUUCUUGAGACUCACCUUGGGAAACAAAUAUUUGUGAAUAGUUGCUUCAUAAAUGCAUUCAUGAUGAAUAUUCAUCUGCUGUACAGAGGAGUUUCUGACUGGGAUUUGACUUGUGUGCACGUACUAGGACAAAUUUUCUACCACAGACAAUUACACUAAUUUAAAGCAAGACAUGAUGAGAUUAAAGAAGUAGAAAGAGCAGAUGUAGUUGCCUUAAUGAUUCAGUUUCAUCUAAAAAAUAGUUCAUUUCUAAGGACAUCUGCCAUAUUAAUUUUUAAAUAUUUUCUGACUUCAACACAAAUAAUAUACAAGACAAUUAUAUCUGAUUGAACAUCCUCCCCCUUCCCCUCCCAACAUGAUAUCUAUUCAUUUUUAAGGAUAAUUCAGCUUGGAAGACACUUCAGGAGGUCUCUAGUCCAAUCUCUGUCUGAAAGCAGGGUCAGCUAUGAGAUCUGACUGGGUUUCUCAGAGUUUUAUUUGGUUCUUGAGAACUUCCAGGGUUGGACACCACACUUAUUUAUUAUGCCUUUUUUUUUUUUUUUUUCCUCAACUAAGGAAAACAUUCAGUCUUGUGUGUGAACUGAAUGAGACAUUUAAGUUAUUGUGGGAUGAAAAUGAAUGAAUUUUCAGGAGCAGGGCAAUAAUUUCCAGUGUGUGGUUUCACACUCCUAUGCAGGAGACAACUUAAGUCCCAAUGAGUGGUGCUCCCUUUCUGCUGAUGGAGGCAGAAGUGUGAAUUGUGGGUACCUGCUGUCAAAAAACAACUGAUGUUGACCACAGUCUACUCCAUUAUAAUUUGGUUGUAUUAUUGUACCACUUCUCACUGGAAUCUGUCCUCUUAGCAUCAAAGAUAAGUAGUUGAAACAUAUUCCAAGUAUUCAUCUCAAUUCAAAUCUAAGUGAAUUUUGAUCCUGUUGGCACAUCUAUGAAGUAAGAUGGUAAAGAAUUUCUAUGUAGCAUUGUGGUAGUUCAUGUUGUCUUCUCUCUAGGACAAGAUGCCUUUGACCUGAUAUGUGAUGCAAAGUUACUGAUGAUAGAUAACCACUUAGGCCAGAAUUAUGCCAAAGCUUCACAGGAAACAGAUUUGAUUAGAUGAGUCUUCAUGCUCUUCUGCCAUCCCAGCUGCUCUUAUAGAGAAGAAAUUACCCUGUUCAACUACUAUAUGAACAGCAGCAAAGUGAAAAGGCAGUUUUAUCUGCCUUUAGGAAAAUUCUAGGAUAGAGUUUGUACUGAUUCUCAGUCUCCUCACCUAGUAUUAACAAGACUAUAAUCUCCUUCCUUGAAGUCAUGCCCUGUGGUCUUAUUCCAGUCCUAUAAAGUGGCUGUUCUGAUGAUCCAGUGUUACAUUCACACCAUGGUCACAGUUAGACCCUGGGAAACAUACUGUUGUUGGAAAUGCACUUACUCUCCCUCUGCUUCCAUUCCUACACAGGCAUAUUCUUCCUUAAUCUAAUUAAAUGGCAGAGGAACUCUGAUCUGUGACAUGCAGGGGGACAGUUCUGAGCCUUACAAGGGUUAGAAAUGUAACAAGAAAACUUGGCUAUACGCAAAUAAAUUGCUAUUCUUUCCACUUUUGAAUUAUGGAACAAGAACUCUAAAUUUAAAUGUGUUAUCCUGCAUGCAUAACUUUUGUUGAUUCAACCAAAUUUUUGUAUUGUCUGGAGAAAAUUGGAAUUUAUGCCUCCUGGGCAAUUAUCAGAAUGUUAUGUCACCUUUUACUGCACAUACGUUUUUGAUCUUGAAUAAUUCACAUGCUGCUUUGUUGCUCAAUGGUUAUUAGUCAAUGCUUACUUCUGGUUUUAUUUUUCCUUGCACAUUUAGGUUACUUAGCCUUAAAAAGAGCAAACUCUAUUUAAUCUAAUAGGAUACAAAUUAGGGUGACAUGAACUUGAUUUGACCACAGACAAAAAACCUUUGUGGUUAGAUACUGUAUUUUACCUCUCACUUUUAAAUGAUUAAUACACAAAUAAUACUCCAUAUGUCCACAGUGGCAUGAUUCUUCAUCCUGCAUGAUGCUAUUAUACUUGUGUUAUUUCAUGAUUCUGUGUAUGCAGAUGCAUUUGUCUUGGUGUUAUGAACACAAGCUUGUAAGUCUGAAGGCACAGGUGAGUUUUUUUAAAAAGAGCUUACCUGUAGCAUUUAUGGGCAAGAAGAUAAGUGUGGGAUUUCCACACUGGUUGUACAACCUGCCUCUCGAUCAGAGUAGCAUGUGAAGUAUUAAGCAAACAGGGUCUGCUUUAUUUUCUCAAAAGUGGCUAAGCUUCUAUUGCCAAUUGUUGUAAUACCUGAAAGCUACAACAACAGUUUUGUUAUAAAAGUGGCAUUUAUACAGUCUCUUAGUUCAAUUUAGAAAGAUCUUGUGAUUCGGCAAAGAGAGCAGUCUUGAGAGAGGCGGUGAUACCAGCUUAAGUAAUCAUCACCAUAGCUUAACUAAUUCAAUAUUAGCUUUAUUUUGCCUUCAUUGUUUAAUGAGGUAUAGGAGGUAACUACCCAAGCGAUAAAUAUUGCAAAAAUAUUAUGUUUGUUUCCAUAAAGAAAAACUGUCGUGAGGUAUGACUAUAAUUCCAUGUUUGCUUUAUUUGCCUGGACUGCAUAUGGAGUCUAAUAUGUUCACUGAGUCAAGCCAGACAGGAUACAUAAACAGUAUGUUGUCUCUGCCAACUACACUGGUAGCUUCGAGUGCUUUGCAUUAUUUAUUUGAAAGUGUCUGUUGCUUAAACAGUGCCUUUGACUGCAUGCUUUUUAAGUGACAGGAAGUCUACCAGUUCAGAUCCAUUUAGCGAAAAGCAAAAGCUCCUUCCCAUAAAUUUUGAGCUGUAAAAAUAGGAAACCGUUUCAGAAAUGGUAGUGAAUCAAGUUCUGUAUGGAAGCGGUAAUUGAAUCUUCUGAACAAAUGGUUGCACCAGUGUCUGUGCUUUGACUUUCAUUUCUCACCACUGCCAUCGAUACAGUGAGUGUGUAACAUGAUUAUGACAUCCUCUGUUGUUUACGUGAUCUAAAUCACUCAUAAGAAAAAGAUUGACAGCUCAUAUUCAUAAUUUAAAACACAUGAUUCUAUGUUCUGAAUAAAAUGGUCUUGAACAUCUAAUACAGAUUAUUCCUUGUGUUCCUUAAUGAGAGGAUCCAGCAGACCAAUUGAGAUCCAGAUUUCAAAUGCCCUGGAGACCCUACAACUUCAUUUUAGUGGGAUUUAUACUGAGUAUGAGAUUUCCUAAGGAGCCCUCCCAGAAUGCUGAGAAGUACACAGACAUGAGAAGCCUUCAAGCAGUUUCUCUCUGGCUCCUGCUUUGAGGUCUCCAGACAGUGAGGGGAAUGUCUGGUGGUGGUCUGCAAACGGCAAAUGGGCCACCGUUCAGGCUCUACUUCAGUUGGACAAUAGUUGACAAAGCUGGCACCCUAGAGUAGGAAAUGUGAAAUACUUCCAACAGAGGUUCCCUAAAAUUCCUACAGUCUGGGUUUUACUGAAAUUUUGUGCUGAUUGAUACUUCUACAAGCACAGAGUGUAAGUUUACUUUUCCUCACAAUGAGUAAAAUGAGGCCCUUUCAAAAUAAAAGUCAUGAUGCCUAGACAUACAAGAUAUGGACAUGAGAACUUGCGAGAAAACUGGAGCACAUUGUCUCCUCUAAGCAAUUUCUUAAUAUUAGUUUGAAUCAGUAAAACAGAAAAUAAUGAUAGGCUGAGAAAGGUAUUUUAGAAGAAUUAUCUUUAAAAAUGCUUGGAAAGCUUUUCUAGUUAUUUUAUAAUGGAAAGGCUAAAUAUUUUGUUUUGAAAGUGUCAGAAUAUUUUUUAACUCAAGAGUAGUAAUUUAUUAUGAUGCUUUAAAGCUAUUUGCAAUGCUCUUUUUUUUAUUUUAUUUUUU